ensembl:lncRNA
UGAAAACUAAAAUGUUUAUUGAGCAGAAACAUGCUUUAAUCAAAAAUAUCUCUGGAACAGUAGCAAGGUCAAUGGGUCAAAGGUCAGAAUAUCUCUGGAACAGUAGCAAGGUCAAUGGGUCAAAGGUCAGAAUAUCUCUGGAACAGUAGCAAGGUCAAUGGGUCAAAGGUCAGAAUAUCUCUGGAACAGUAGCAAGGUCAAUGGGUCAAAGGUCAGAAUAUCUCUGGAACAGUAGCAAGGUCAAUGGGUCAAAGGUCAGAAUAUCUCUGGAACAGUAGCAAGGUCAAUGGGUCAGAGGUCAGCACCCCCCGAAACAAAACAAACGUAAAGAGUAGAAAGCAACAGCAAGCAGGGUUCGCUCUGCCAUGAUCACAUCUCAGGAGGGGUUAUAGGUGUCUGUAGUAGAGGAGGAGGAGGGUUAUAGGUGUCUGUAGUAGAGGAGGAGGAGGGGUUAUAGGUGUCUGUAGUAGAGGAGGAGGAGGGGUUAUAGGUGUCUGUAGUAGAGGAGGAGGGGUUAUAGGUGUCUGUAGUAGAGGAGGAGGGGUUAUAGGUGUCUGUAGUAGAGGAGGAGGGGUUAUAGGUGUCUGUAGUAGAGGAGGAGGGGUUAUAGGUGUCUGUAGUAGAGGAGGAGGGGUUAUAGGUGUCUGUAGUAGAGGAGGAGGGGUUAUAGGUGUCUGUAGUAGAGGAGGAGGGGUUAUAGGUGUCUGUAGUAGAGGAGGAGGGGUUAUAGGUGUCUGUAGUAGAGGAGGAGGGUUAUAGGUGUCUGUAGUAGAGGAGGAGGGUUAUAGGUGUCUGUAGUAGAGGAGGAGGAGGGUUAUAGGUGUCUGUAGUAGAGGAGGAGGGUUAUAGGUGUCUGUAGUAGAGGAGGAGGGUUAUAGGUGUCUGUAGUAGAGGAGGAGGAGGGUUAUAGGUGUCUGUAGUAGAGGAGGAGGGUUAUAGGUGUCUGUAGUAGAGGAGGAGGGGUUAUAGGUGUCUGUAGUAGAGGAGGAGGGUUAUAGGUGUCUGUAGUAGAGGAGGAGGAGGGUUAUAGGUGUCUGUAGUAGAGGAGGGGGAGGGGUUAUAGGUGUCUGUAGUAGAGGAGGAGGGGGUUAUAGGUGUCUGUAGUAGAGAGGGGGGGGUCCAUAGUGCAUGGGCAUGUUGACGUCUAUAUUGUUCAGGUUGUUGUUGACCUGGUUGGGGGGUGG